rnacentral:tRNA from 1 species
GGGCCUAUAGCUCAGCGGUAGAGCAGCGGACUCAUAAUCCGUUGGUCGCAGGUUCGAUCCCUGCUGGGCCCA